rnacentral:misc_RNA from 1 species
AUGUUAAAUUUCACCCCUGACGACGAGACGGGUAUGGUUGUAUUACGAAUUUGACACCGCUUUAAAUAAAGGUCGAAAUGAUCAGACAAAUUACAAAUAAACAUGUGUAGGUUUUGGGUUUUGUUCGCUAAUAUUUCUAAAGUCUGCUUUCUUUACAAUCGAUGCAUAGCAUACGGGUUGAAUAACCCCAAUCAUUCGGGGGACGAAACCAAGCGGUUUCCUUUUCUAAACAUUCCCGUGAUGCAUUUUGGUUUGUUUUUUCGUUUGCCCAAAGAGAAAUUAUUUUUAUUUACUUUCAAUAUUUCUAACUUUGAAAGGAGACUGAUUCGGCUGGUGUAAAUAGGAGAAAGUCCAUAACUUUCUAAGAUAAAUGAUUUGUAUGAAAAAAAUUUUGAUACUGUAAUUACAAAAAAAUCGGACAAAGCAGCUUUCAUGGAAAUUAAAUCAAUGUAGCUGUGUUGAGACUCUUGAUUAUGAAAAUAUGCAUGGCUCGAUCAUCCAUUUCAUACUGAAUUUGAAAUAUUCAUGUAUUGUACAUACAAUCUUUUGCAUAAUAUAUAAUGUUUUUUUUUGUUAUGAAUUAAAGAGAGUUAACCA